rnacentral:lncRNA from 1 species
UUAGGUCGAUAUCGCGUUUCAGUUUAUAAGGAAAUACCAGAAAAUUAUUUGUAGUAAUUAAAAUCACACAAUUAUUAAUAAUAACAAAUGCUAUACAAAUGAAUUUAGUAUAAAACUCAAAUACAAUACCUAUCCCUCUGGAUAAAAUAAAACUUAAAACAACAAGGGCGAGGGAACUCUAUAAAAAUAACAGGAAUCACAAGUAAAACUACUAGUCGUUUGCAUCUUCUAACUGAAUCUUCGAACCUGUGUCACUGAAAGGGUGG